AGAACGAACGCUGGCGGCAUGCCUAACACAUGCAAGUCGAACGCUUUUGGGGCUUCGGUCCCAAAGGAGUGGCGCACGGGUGAGUAGCGCGUGGGAACCUGCCCUGUUGUGGGGGAUAACCGAGGGAAACUUCGGCUAAUACCGCAUACGCCCGGGGGAAACUCCGGGGAAAGAUUUAUCGCAGCAGGAGGGGCCCGCGUCGGAUUAGGUAGUUGGUGGGGUAACGGCCCACCAAGCCUGUGAUCCGUAGCUGGUCUGAGAGGAUGAUCAGCCACACUGGGACUGAGACACGGCCCAGACUCCUACGGGAGGCAGCAGUGGGGAAUAUUGGACAAUGGGCGCAAGCCUGAUCCAGCAAUGCCGCGUGAGUGAUGAAGGCCUUCGGGUUGUAAAGCUCUUUCGCACGCGACGAUGAUGACGGUAGCGUGAGAGAAGCCCAGGCUAACUCGUGCCAGCAGCCGC
rnacentral:rRNA from 1 species